AUGGGAAUAGUUGUAGUUUAUACAGAGAAACAGUGGGUUGGGGGAGCAGAGUGCUGGCUCUAUCUCUGGAAACAGUCCCCUUUCCAGGAUCUCCCCCAUUUCACCUGCACCGGCUACCUCAGCCCCAGAUCAUGGCUGAUUCUGCAUGAGUUGUGCACCCCUGCCAAAGGUGUUAACUCAGCCAUGUUAACCAGUGCCCCCAGCCCCAGCACACGGAGGCUUCCCAGUAAAUGCUCCCCGGUCACUCAUCUGUGUGAAGACUCCCACGCUUGUCGACAGGAGCCCCUCCUGUGUGUGGUUUUCAGAAUCUGCAUGAAAAGCCACGGGCAUUGGUCUUCAGCUUCUCCUGGGACACGGAACUUAAGCAAGAAAAACCUCCCGUGUGUCUGGAAGACGCCGAGGCCGCGGCGAGACCGCGGAGGAAACCGUGGGGAGACUGAGAGGAGGCUGCCAGAAAGAAACUCAGGGCUUCUCAGCGCGGAACUGGAAUCCUGCACCAUCUCCUGCGGCCACGUGAAUGCUCUCAGGGUUCCCGCACGUCGGGGCCGUGGCAAGGCUUUGUCCCUUCUUCCUGCCGAGUGACGCUCCAUCGCUGGACCCGCCCAUUCACCUGUUCAUGGCGUUUCUGUUCUUCAGCCGCUGUGAAUGGUGCCGCUAGGAACCUUCCAGAACAGGCCGUGUGGACGUGUCUGGUGUUCCCGCGGGCGACACCGAGGCGCUGGCCCUCGUUCCCAGGCCCCUGGCGUGGUUUCUGUUCUCACAGCAGAGGCUGCACGUCCCACACCGUGCGUCCCAUCUCUUCUUCUUACAGUCGCCCGAGAGACGUGGCCGGCCGUGUCACUGUGCAGUGGAUCUGCACGACGAUGGUGACACGUGUUGAACUGUGUCUUCCCCGGAAGACGUGUUCAGUUCUCACCCCCAGUGCGGCCGGAGGGGAUCUUGUUUGGAAGCAAGGUCUCUGUAGAGGUUAGGGCGGCUCCCACACAACCUUGUCCCACACAACCGAUGCCCUCAUUAGGAGGUGAGAGGGACCCAUGGGAAGAAGAAGGCAGGGACAGCAGGGGCAGCGGCUGGAGGGACACGGCCACAGCCGAGGACUGAGGGGCACCCAGGAGCUAGAGGAGAAAGGGCAGGGCGCCGUGCAGCUUCGAGGAGGCAUGGCCUUGGUGAGACCUUCAGUCUGGACAUCGGAGCUGAGACAGAACACAUCUCAUCUCCCCAGGUCCCCGCCGCCACCAGGCCGUCUCAGGGGUACGCCAGGAGGCCUCUGGCCAGCUAGGGGAGCCUCGUGUUUCUGUUACUAUGGCAAAACCCCCAGGGCUGGGCAGCAUCGCAUGAACCAGACGCUCCCUUUAGCCCGCAGUGUGGCGUGCGGAGGGCCUGGCACCAGCCUCAGCUCCGCUCUGCCAGGGCUCCAAGGCAGGUGGUACACGGGGACAGGAAGGCAGAGAGUGACUCGGGGUCAGGCUCAGUCUUUUCUUUAAGUUUUUAAUUAAUUUAUUUGAGAGGCAUAGUUACAAACAGUGAGAGGGAGAGCCAGAAAGAGAGGUCUUCCAUCCACUGGUUCACUCCCCAAAUGGCC
rnacentral:lncRNA from 1 species